GCACACGUACAACCGAUUGGAGAGGCAUAGCAUUUUUCAUGGCUAAGUAACAACUCGAAUCAAAGCAAACAAAAUUGAGUGAAUUGCAAUGGAAAGAUAAAAGAGUUUGGAGCUCUUACAAUUCAAUGGAAAGAUAAAAGAGUUUGGAGCUCUUAUCUCAAAAUGGUGUCUACAGUUCAAAGAAUCUCUCCACCUGGUUACCAAUUGACAAUGGACUCUACAUUUGUGCCCACCAAGUGUUCGACGAAAUGGCCACAAGAAACCGGAACUAUUUUCGCACGAUCGAACGGAUCUGUUUGGGUGUAGUGUUGUUGGAUGAAAUGUUCUGAGUAGUGCUUUUAAGAAAAGCACUGUAUUGGCGCUUCUGCUUUUGGGCCUCUCAGAAUCUCAUUUCUGAUUCCUAGUGAAGCAAAAAAAUCUGACAUUUUCGUUUGCGGAAUAAUCUAUUAAAAGUGGUAUUAAGACUCUUUACAAAGUGUUUGAUUUGUAGUCUCAAACUGUUUAGGAGCUGUUUGAUGAUAUGACUAUGAGAACCGAAAUUUGUUUA